GAUUAAGUUAUUAAGGGCGCACGGUGGAUGCCUUGGCACUAGAAGCCGAUGAAGGACGUUACUAACGACGAUAUGCUUUGGGGAGCUGUAAGUAAGCUUUGAUCCAGAGAUUUCCGAAUGGGGAAACCCAGCAUGAGUUAUGUCAUGUUAUCGAUAUGUGAAUACAUAGCAUAUCAGAAGGCACACCCGGAGAACUGAAACAUCUUAGUACCCGGAGGAAGAGAAAGAAAAUUCGAUUCCCUUAGUAGCGG
rnacentral:rRNA from 1 species